AGUUUUGUAGACCUAGAUACUUUCCCAGCUCCUACCAGGGAGGCGAUGAUCAUAGAGAUUGAAUCCCAAGUGGAGUCCUGGUCUUUUUCUUAGUGAAACCAGAUCUGAUAUGCUGUUGAUUUUGGAAAUGAGGAGCAUAAGGGAGCUGUGUGAUAGUCAUUGCUUAUAAAAUCAAGGAGAGACUAGCAAAGGUAGGAAUCCCUCAAAUUCCUUCGCAAAUGCUGUUUACCUUAAAAGGUCCACCUCAUAUUACUUAUUCAUUAAGAAAUACUUAAUGUUCACUAACUACAUGCUAUGCACUGGAGAUUCUUAGGAGAAUAGUUCAGAUAUGAUCUGUACCUUACAAUCUGGCAGAAUAGCAUGGCAUUAAAUAGCUAAUUACCGAAGAUGUAAGGAGUGUUUCAAAAAGAGAGUAGGUGCCAUAGACACAUGUAAUAGGGAGACAUGCCUUAUUACAUGAGUUUUUCUCCUCAGGGCAACUGUGACCUUACCACUUCCAAAAUCUUUUCUGUUCUUGCUGUCUAUAUAUUUUUGUAUAUAGAUACACACUUACUUGUUGGCCCUGUGUUAGCACUAUCUGAGAGUCUUCAGUGAAGCUGUUCUACCUUAAAACUACUUCCCAGGCCUCCAUUGCUAAGACUCUGCUCUCCAAGGAAAUGUCAUACGCUGAGCUGCGUAAUCUCACAUUACUUCAUUACUCUAAUAGUUACAGAGCAGAAGGAGGAGGCCUUUUCCCAGGCUGCCUGGUUUUAAGUUGCAGUAGUACUGCCAUGUGACCUUAGGUGUGAGACUAUAGCUGCAUGAUUAUGGAAUUCCACAUUUCAAUAGAAAAUGAGAAUAGGAAACAUAAACAUUGUCAUUAUUUAAAUUGCAAUAAGCAAUUACAUUAGAUAAUAAAAGAUGAGAGCAAAAAUAUUUCAAUUUAGCUAGCAUAGAUGCUACAAAAAGUUUAUACCUUCCUCAAAUUUAUAUGUUGAAGCAGCAACCUUCAGUAUGAUGGUAUUUGGAGAUUGGGCCUUUGAGAGGUAGUUAGAAUGAGAUUAGGUGAUGAGGUUGAGCCCUCAUGAUGAGAUUAGUAGCCUUAUAAGAAAAGAAAGAGAGAUCAAUCACUGUCUACAUGCAAGCACUAAGGAACUACCAUUUAAAGACAUAGCAAGAAGAUGACCAUCUCUGUAAGCCAGAAAGAGAGCCCUCACAAGAACCUGAUUAUGCUGGCACUCUGGUCUCGGAUUCCAGGCCCCAGAACAUUGAUAAAAUAAGUGUGGUUGUUUAAGCCAUCCAGUGUAUAGUAUUUUGUUACAGCAGGUUAAGCUGUCUAAGACAGGGAGAGAAAAAUAGGAAUUAAGAGUCAGCCAGAGAAAAAGCCACUUGGAAUAUAUUCAAGGCUUCUAGUUGGAAUGAUUGAAGGAUUAUGUUCUGGACAUAAAGGCAAACUGAGAAUAGGCAAACUGAGAACAGACAAACUAUCAAAAAGCUUGAAAGACAACCUCGAAGCUGUGAAAUUCCAAUUGGGUCAAAGUGAUCUGCUUGUACUGUAUCUGCCAGCUAGAAGAAAAUUAAGACUUCUCUGAAGGAAGGUGACAUUAUGCAGAGAUUCUGCAUUUUCUUCAUAUAUAAUAUGCAGCAUUACCUUAAAUAAAAGUAAAAAACAGGCAUGCCAAGACAGAAACCAUAAAACAAAAAAAACUCAAGAGGGAGGAAACAGCAGAUCUGUUAUGAAUAAGGUAGAUAAAGAGAUAGAUACUUUUUGUUUGAAACAGAAAAAACUGAAGA
rnacentral:lncRNA from 10 species